ensembl:lncRNA
AUAAGGGAUCUCCAGCUGUUCCCAGUGCCUGCACAGCCACAGAGAUGCUCUGCUUGCAGCACUGCCUUGUGUGGGAAAGAGCUCAGCAUAAGAAGGAGGCAGAGGCUGGAUCCACACCUACUGGGCGAACUGUCCAAAGAAGCACUGAAUUAACAGAGGCCGGCAUGCUCCUCCUUAUUUCCUGCCACUUCGAGAUACUUCAGAUCUUCUCUAUCUCCUCCCCAGACCUAGAAGCAAUCAUUUCUCCAAGAGGUCUGGUUCCUUCUGUUGGAGAAUUCUAUCAGAAACCAAAAUCUAGGCACUGGGUGCACGUGUUGCUACUGGGGUGUCAUUGCUUCCAGGCCCCCUCAGUUGACAGAACAAGGAAAUAUAUGUGUGUGUACCAACUUGGGUAUUCACAUGGACUGGGUCUAGAUUAAACCAAGCAAGAACUAAUAGUAAAGUCUCAUACUGAAUCGCCAGAUCGAGUCCAUUAGCACAUGGGUCACUCUGACCUCCUGCCCUGCUCCAGCAGUGACGGACCUGGCUCUCACCAUCUGCCAUCCAUCUAUUCACUGUUCCAUUUAUAAUUUAUUUUUUAAAUGAAAGCUAUAGGGAAAGGUUGCAACUUAUUACAACAUCCAGACCAAAGGUACAGAUUAGUUACAGAGCAGACAUCUGAAGGGCAAGAUGCUGCGUGCCAUGAUGCAUUCAGGGCACACACUUUCUGUUGGUGCCUUGUACCUUUCCAGGGGACCAUCUUGGAAACAUGGGCAAAAUGUCCUUUCAAAACGAGUCCCACUUGGGAAGGAUGAAAACCACCAAAGCACACCUUUCUUGACGAUUAGGCAAGGGUGGGUGCUAACGAGAAAAGCAAGAUUGAAAACAUUUAUUUCAACUGCAGUUCUUACCUCCUUUGGAAUAAUGGAUUCCUUUGAGACUCGGAAGGGCUGUGGACCCUCAACCCAGGAAGACAUUCGCAUAGCUCAAGCAGCAUGAAAAACUGCCCCACGGUGGGGAAACCUCACCUUUGAGCCCCUGUGUGCACAUCAUACUUGUGGGUACGAUAUGAACAUCAAGUUCAUUUGCUUGUUUUUCAGUAGGGAGGAGUGAGCAAGUG